rnacentral:lncRNA from 1 species
GACAAUAUUCGGCGAACCAAUUUUGUCGACUAGUUGUGGCAGAUCAGAUGUAGUGGACCAGAUUUUGUAGACGAGAUCCCUUUUUUAUUUUGAUUUUGUCUAUCAUUUUUUUGUCUUUUUCUUCGAGGGCAAAAUCGUCUAUUUUUCUCUCCUUGUGGCACGUUUUGAAAGAAGCUUUCAUUAAUGGCAGUUUGACAAAAUCGAGUUACCAAAAUGGCAUACUCAAUAAAAUUCCCUUUCUAAAAGCCCUUAGUUAAGAACCAAUUUUAAUAAUUUUUGGUUAUUAUGGAUUAAUGAUUUUUUUGCACAAAACCCUAAUUUUAACCACUUUUUUUUUUUUUUAACUUUAGAAGCUAAUUUUAACAUUUCCUUUGGAGAUAGACUAAACCAAUUUUUUCAUAUAAUGGUCUUGAUUGGUUACUACUUUUAAUUAUUUUCACAUGCAUAUUUUCGUCCACAACUACAAAUCUAC